rnacentral:rRNA from 1 species
UACGAAGGGUGCGAGCGUUGUCCGGAAUCAUUGGGCGUAAAGCGCGUGUAGGCGGCUUUGCAAGUCGGGUGUGAAAGCCCUCGGCUCAACCGAGGAAGUGCGCCCGAAACUGCAGAGCUUGAGUACCGGAGAGGAUGGCGGAAUUCCCCAAGUAGAGGUGAAAUUCGUAGAUAUGGGGAGGAACACCGGUGGCGAAGGCGGCCAUCUGGACGGAUACUGACGCUGAGACGCGAAAGCGUGGGGAGCAAACAGG